rnacentral:rRNA from 1 species
UUUCGCAAUGCCCGAAAGGGUGACGAAGCGACGCCGCGUGUGGGAAGAAGGCCUUCGGGUUGUAAACCACUGUCGGGAGUUAGGAAAUGCAGGUGCGUUAAUAGCGCACUUGCUUGACUAAGGCUCCAGAGGAAGCCACGGCUAACUCUGUGCCAGCAGCCGCGGUAAUACAGAGGCGGCAAGCGUUGUUCGGAAUUAUUGGGCGUAAAGAGCACGUAGGCGGCCUUGCAAGUCAGUUGUGAAAGCCUUCCGCUUAACGGAAGAACGGCAUCUGAUACUACAGGGCUUGAGUACGGGAGGGGAGAGUGGAACUUCUGGUGGAGCGGUGAAAUGCGUAGAUAUCAGAAGGAACGUCGGCGGCGAAAGCGACUCUCUGGCCUAUUACUGACACUGAGUGUGCGAAAGUUAGGGGAGCAAACGGGAUUAGAUACCCCGGUAGUCCUAACUGUAAACGAUGGGCACUAAGUAGAGGGGUUUU